rnacentral:rRNA from 1 species
GAUGAACGCUGGCGGCGUGUCUAAGGCAUGCAAGUCGAACGAUCGCAGCAAUGCGAAAGUGGCAAACGGGUGCGUAACACAUUGGUAACCUGCCUCGUACUCGGGUACAACGUUUCGAAAGAGACGCUAAUCCCCGAUGGUCAGUAGAGACCCUGGUCUCUAUUGUAAAGCUCCGACGGUACGAGAGGGGCCUAUGGCUUAUCAGCUAGUUGGUGGGGUAAUGGCUCACCAAGGCUAUGACAAGUAGCAGGCGUGAGAGCGCGACCUGCCUCACUGGGACUGAGACACUGCCCAGACUCCUACGGGAGGCUGCAGUCGAGAAUAUUUCGCAAUGGCCGAAAGGCUGACGAAGCGACGCCGCGUGCGGGAUGAAGCCCUUCGGGGUGUAAACCGCUUUUACGUGGACGAACGUUGACGGUACCACGUGAAUAAGAGGUUGCUAA